CCUACGGGCGGCAGCAGUAGGGAAUAUUGCUCAAUGGGGGAAACCCUGAAGCAGCAACGCCGCGUGGAGGAUGAAGGUUUUAGGAUUGUAAACUCCUUUUGUUAGAGAAGAUUAUGACGGUAUCUAACGAAUAAGCACCGGCUACCUCCGUGCCAGCAGCCGCGGUAAUACGGAGGGUGCACGCGUUACUCGGAAUCACUGGGCGUAAAGAGUGCGUAGGCGGGGUAAUAAGUCAGAUGUGAAAUCCUGUAGCUUAACUACAGAACUGCAUUUGAAACUGUUACUCUGGAGUGUGGGAGAGGUAGGUGGAAUUCUUGGUGUAGGGGUAAAAUGCGUAGAGAUCAAGAGGAAUACUGAUUGCGAAGGCGACCUGCUGGAACAUUACUGACGCUGAUGCACGAAAGCGUGGGGAGCAAACAGGAUUAGAUACCCGUGUAGUC
rnacentral:rRNA from 1 species